rnacentral:rRNA from 1 species
UUAGGCGGACGGGUGAGUAACGACGUGGAAACCUAGCCGUAUACUGGGGGAUAACACUUAGAAAUAGGUGCUAAUACCGCAUAAGCGCACAGCUUCGCAUGAAGCGGUGUGAAAAACCCUGGUGGUAUACGAUGGUUCCGCGUCUGAUUAGCUAGUUGGUGGGGUAAUGGCCUACCAAGGCAACGAUCAGUAGCCGGCCUGAGAGGGUGAACGGCCACAUUGGGACUGAGACACGGCCCAAACUCCUACGGGAGGCAGCAG